AUGCCAUGGUGUGGGCAUGCUACAAUGUACUACUAGAGACAUUCCCAGGCUUCUAGGAUGGUUUCAUCCUGGAGUUGUUGAAAACUAGAAAUCCUCUUUCGUAGGGCAU